ACGGAAGGCAGCAGUGGGGAAUAUUGGGCAAUGGGCGCAAGCCUGACCCAGCGACGCCGCGUGAAGGAAGAAGGCCCUCGGGUUGUAAACUUCAGUCAACAGGGACGAUAAUGACUGUACCUGUGAAGGAAGCUCCGGCUAACUACGUGCCAGCAGCCGCGGUAAUACGUAGGGAGCAAGCGUUAGCCGGAAUUACUGGGUGUAAAGGGAGUGUAGGCGGGACUGUAAGUCAGAUGUGAAAUAUGCCGGCUCAACUGGCAGACUGCAUUUGAAACUGCGGUUCUUGAGUGAAGUAGAGGUAAGCGGAAUUCCUAGUGUAGCGGUGAAAUGCGUAGAUAUUAGGAGGAACAUCAGUGGCGAAGGCGGCUUACUGGGCUUUAACUGACGCUGAGGCUCGAAAGCGUGGGGAGCAAACAGGAUUAGAUACCCUGGUA
rnacentral:rRNA from 1 species